GCGCGAAGCCCCAACCGCCACCCUGAAACUUCUCUUACGCUUCCUGCCACCGCCCGCCCUCUCACCCCACCCAUUGACAGCGACAAAUCAAGCCGCACGGCUGUCCGUACUCGUCAUCCAAGCCCGCCCCUCCUCCAGAUGGCCGCACCCUCCCCGCCGCCAAUCUGAAAUCCGGCCCACCGCGCGACCGCCGAUAGAUUCCAGCCCUCAACCACCCCUCAGUGGCUCUGCUUGCCAUGGAUUUGCAGCACUACCUUUCCGCGACUCGCCGCCGACUGUCCUCGAAAUAGGGUUCUGCCGCGCAUUACCCCUAUCUGUCGGCAGAUUCCAUGACCACAACCAUCUACCGAGCACGGAAGAGGCGACCGCCAACCCGAUUUCAGCUUCCCGCCGCUGCCCCGCCCUCUCCCCCAACCACCGCCGGCCUAGUUCCUCGGCGCAUGGAAGGUGUUUGACAAGAAGGGUCCAAGAUGGUUUCGUUGCGCGAUACGGCAUGGAGGAAGAUGAGGACAGUGAUAUGAUUUUGUUCUUAAGUCAAGAAAAAUAGGUCGAAAUAUGGCGGUUCGGUCUUUGUUUCAUGAUGAACCAUUUGUUUCACUUGUUAUGACGAGGACAUUGUUGUGAUUUUGUCAUGUGUGUGCUACUUAUUGAACCAUUUGUUUCAUUUUUGUCAUGUGUGUGCCAAAAAAAACUAUGUUCUAGUA